UACGGAGGGGGCAAGCGUUGUUCGGAGUUACUGGGCGUAAAGCGCGCGUAGGCGGUGCGGUAAGUCAGGGGUUAAAGGCUGCAGCUCAACUGCAGUAAGGCCUUUGAUACUAUCGCGCUAGAGUACCAGAGAGGAUGGCGGAAUUCCCGGUGUAGCGGUGAAAUGCGUAGAUAUCAGGAGGAACACCGGAGGCGAAAGCGGCUAUCUGGCGCACACCUGACGCUGAGGCACGAAAGCUAGGGGAGCAAACAGG
rnacentral:rRNA from 1 species